rnacentral:rRNA from 1 species
UACGUAGGGUGCGAGCGUUAAUCGGAAUUACUGGGCGUAAAGAGUGCGUAGGCGGUUCGUUAUGUCUGUGGUGAAAGCCCUGGGCUCAACCUCGGAAUGGCCAUGGAAACUGGCGGGCUGGAGUAUGGCAGAGGGGGGUGGAAUUCCGCGUGUAGCAGUGAAAUGCGUAGAGAUGUGGAGGAACACCGAUGGCGAAGGCAGCCCCCUGGGCCAACACUGACGCUCAGGCACGAAAGCGUGGGGAGCAAACAGG